AGGAACUUAGGCUAACACCCAAAACCGCACGCCUUCAAAGCGUGAAAUAUGUACACCACAUAGUUCCUG
rnacentral:tRNA from 1 species